rnacentral:rRNA from 1 species
GUACACGGUGGAUGCCCUGGCAGUCAGAGGCGAUGAAGGGCGUACUAAUCUGCGAUAAGCGCCGGUAAGGUGAUAUGAACCGUUAUAACCGGCGAUACCCGAAUGGGGAAACCCAGUGUGAUUCGUCACACUAUCAUUAACUGAAUCCAUAGGUUAAUGAGGCGAACCGGGGGAACUGAAACAUCUAAGUACCCCGAGGAAAAGAAAUCAACCGAGAUUCCCCCAGUAGCGGCGAGCGAACGGGGAGGAGCCCAGAGCCUGAAUCAGCAUGUGUGUUAGUGGAAGCGUCUGGAAAGGCGCGCGAUACAGGGUGACAGCCCCGUACACAAAAGCGCAUGUGCUGUGAGCUCGAUGAGUAGGGCGGGACACGUGGUAUCCUGUCUGAAUAUGGGGGGACCAUCCUCCAAGGCUAAAUACUCCUGACUGACCGAUAGUGAACCAGUACCGUGAGGGAAAGGCGAAAAGAACCCCGGCGAGGGGAGUGAAAAAGAACCUGAAACCGUGUACGUACAAGCAGUGGGAGCCCCACCACCAAAGCAUUUGCUGUACCGCGUUGACGGAGCGAAGCGACGUCAAACCGAUAAAACAGCAGUGU